CAGGUGGUCAGGUAGAGAAUACCAAGGCGCUUGAGAGAACUCGGGUGAAGGAACUAGGCAAAAUGGUGCCGUAACUUCGGGAGAAGGCACGCUGACACGUAGGUGAAGUGGUUUACCCAUGGAGCUGAAGUCAGUCGAAGAUACCAGCUGGCUGCAACUGUUUAUUAAAAACACAGCACUGUGCAAACACGAAAGUGGACGUAUACGGUGUGACGCCUGCCCGGUGCCGGAAGGUUAAUUGAUGGGGUCAGCGCAAGCGAAGCUCCUGAUCGAAGCCCCGGUAAACGGCGGCCGUAACUAUAACGGUCCUAAGGUAGCGAAAUUCCUUGUCGGGUAAGUUCCGACCUGCACGAAUGGCGUAAUGAUGGCCAGGCUGUCUCCACCCGGGACUCAGUGAAAUUGAACUCGCUGUGAAGAUGCAGUGUACCCGCGGCAAGACGGAAAGACCCCGUGAACCUUUACUAUAGCUUGACACUGAACACUGGUCCUUGAUGUGCAGGAUAGGUGGGAGGCUUUGAAGUGUGGACGCCAGUCUGCAUGGAGCCGACCUUGAAAUACCACCCUUUAAUGGCUGGUGUUCUAACGUGGGCCCGUGAACCGGGUUGCGGACAGUGUCUGGUGGGUAGUUUGACUGGGGCGGUCUCCUCCUAAAGAGUAACGGAGGAGCACGAAGGUUGGCUAAUCCUGGUCGGACAUCAGGAGGUUAGUGCAAUGGCAUAAGCCAGCUUGACUGCGAGCGUGACGGCGCGAGCAGGUGCGAAAGCAGGUCAUAGUGAUCCGGUGGUUCUGAAUGGAAGGGCCAUCGCUCAACGGAUAAAAGGUACUCCGGGGAUAACAGGCUGAUACCGCCCAAGAGUUCAUAUCGACGGCGGUGUUUGGCACCUCGAUGUCGGCUCAUCACAUCCUGGGGCUGAAGUAGGUCCCAAGGGUAUGGCUGUUCGCCAUUUAAAGUGGUACGCGAGCUGGGUUUAGAACGUCGUGAGACAGUUCGGUCCCUAUCUGCCGUGGGCGCUGGAAGAUUGAGGGGGGCUGCUCCUAGUACGAGAGGACCGGAGUGGACGCAUCACUGGUGUUCGGGUUGUCAUGCCAAUGGCACUGCCCGGUAGCUACAUGCGGAAGAGAUAAGUGCUGAAAGCAUCUAAGCACGAAACUUGCCCCGAGAUGAAUCUUCCCUGAGCCUUUAAGGCUCCUGAAGGAACGUUGAAGACGACGACGUUGAUAGGCCGGGUGUGUAAGCGCAGCGAUGCGUUGAGCUAACCGGUACUAAUGAACCGUGAGGCUUAACCUUACAACGCCGAAG
rnacentral:rRNA from 1 species